rnacentral:lncRNA from 1 species
CAAAGUCACAAAUAGACCUACUGUUGGCCACAUUUUUCUAGGGUCACAAAAGAGUUCCCAUGUAGAUCCCUCUCUCUUCUUUCCUACCUAGGCACAGCUGGAGUGCCCUCUGCUACAACAGUCUCCCCUGGGAGCUCCAACUCAGAGGCCACAACUUCUGUAGGAGAAAGUGGAAAAACAGGAGCUGAAACAAUCACAGGUACUACUGAGGGCAUCUCUGGCAGAACUCUGGAGGCUAAAAGUGCCCACACAGAGGCCACAACUUUCCCAGGAGGCAGCAGAACCACCCAAGCAGGACCACACCGGGGAGGCCACCACUUCCACAGAAGGGACUGGUACUUCUGGAACUGGAUUCAAAACUGGCACCUCAGAGGUAGCUCCUGCCACAACGGUUGCCCCAGGAAGUUUCAGCACAGCAGCCACAACUUCUCCUGGAGCAAGUGGAAUGACUGGGGUUACAACAACUACAAAGACCACAACUUCCCUAGGAGGAAGUGGCACCACUGGAGCAAAAAUAAAAU